CUGGUACACACACACAAAACAAAACAAAACAAAACAAAAAACACCAUGGUGCUGGUGGAGAGCAGGAUCUAACUAGAAAGAGGUUUAACACUGGCUUCUUUGGACAGCUCUGGCUUGAUUGAGGAUGGAGUGGGGAGACAGGGAAAGCCGAGUACUGGGGAAGAGGAGGUCAAAGAAGCAGGUGGCCAGGGCCACACCCGCUGGGGAGGUAAGUGGAUAGAUAGAGAAACACUGAGGACCCAGGCAGGACCAACCACCAUGAGGUGGCAGCUGAAAGUCACAGGGACACCAAGAGCAGCACCCCAGGGGCUGGGAUAUAGUUCAGUUGGUAGAGUGCGCAUGCGCAAGGCCUUGGGUUCAAUCCCCAGCACACACACACACACCCCAAAAAACAAGGCGGAGCCCUGCAGGCAUGGAGCUGCGCAGCUCGUUUUCCAUCUGGGGAAACCCUUUUCAUUUUUAUAAUAACAGGCAGGAGAGAGCCGCCUGCGUCCUGAGACGCUGCCUAGGCACCAACACGCUGAGAAACGCCGGGAAGGACCCUGUGGGCACCGGGAUCGAAGCCAGAGGCUCAGAGCGCAAAUGGUGCCUGUCGCACGCACGGCACUGAGCUGCAGGUGACGGCUCGUUUUCUAUGCAUGAGGACCUUCCAGUCGUCUCUGGAAUAAUGGCAACUCGACAGCCACCAGAGCAGAGAUGAUCUGUCAGCUGCCCUGCAUCGAGGGCCGCGCGGGGACGCAUUGAGGGGGGCUCCGCUCCUCCUGCGCCCUCACCCGCGCCCCACCCCGGCGGGGGGGCGUCUGCGCCUGCCCCUGCCGGUGGGAGGAACGGAGGAGCUGCGCGGACCCCAAACGUUGCCACCCGUUCCAUCUCUCUGAUCUUUGUUGGCAAACAAACAAGCCGAUUUCAAAGCCUGUGACUGGGGAAUGACAAACAAGGCUGAGGAGCCGUCCUGCCUGGGCUAGUUGCUGCCCAGCUGCCACUGGGAGGCGGUGUGGCCCCAGGGCAGGGGCUGUGCCGCUCUGGAGGCCCUGGGAUUCCUCCUCGGCCUCAAGGUGGAGGGCAGGUCAGGUUGUUCCGGAGCCUCAGCUUGCCCACCUGUAAAGUGGGCAUGGUCAUUCUUGCCAGGCUCACACAAGGCUGUUUGAGGACCAAUUAAGGAAAUGGUGACACAUGAGGAAGAUGGGUGCUGCUCACCAUGCUGAGUGACCUCCUACUGUGCUGGGCACAUGGCUGGGGAGUGCCACCUGUCCCCUCCCUGCAGAGUCCAGAAGCCGGGACCUGAGCCCAGAGAGCCUCAGUGUGCAGGAGAAAGGACAGUCAGAGGAAUACGUAGGGGAGUCCGUUUGUAGAAGGAAAAAUCAUUUUUUUGGUGAAGUCUAUGGACAGAUUUGGGGAGAAGGUAAUGAAUGGCACCAAGUGUGCCCAGCAGUUCCCCUUCCAGAGCAUCACAUGACAGACACACCUGCUCAUGCAAAUGACCUGAGCACAAGGCUGUUCACUCAGAAGGGUGUGUAAUUGUGCAGGUCAGAAGUCCCCAAAUAUCUGCUAGUUAGAGGGGGCUUGAAUAAACAGGCUACAUGAAGAAUAAGGAAAAGAUCUUUGUGAGCCAAUGUGAAAAGAUUACCAAGAGAUACUAAGUGAGGUAAAAAACUGACCAAAACAGUACAAAAAAAGCAAGGAAGACUAUCUAUAGAAUAUACCUAUUUAUAUGAGCAGAGAAUGUUCUAAAACUAAUUAUCAC
rnacentral:lncRNA from 1 species